CAACGUCGAACGGUCGGAAUAUUAUCGCUAUUUUACGAGAAAAAUCGCAUUUUUUUAUUUUAAACAGCGUUUGACAUGCUUCGAAGUACAGUAAUGGAAUAUUUUGACAAUUUUUGUCACGAUACGCGCCGGCGCUUCACCCUUCGGAUAGUGUCUUGAACGCAAGAACAAACGCAGCUAUUUGGAUAUAACUAUGCAUUAUAAUUUCGUUGUAAAGCCUUUUUGAAAUCGGACAAUGUGGUUACUUAAUAGGUGAAUGACAAUUCGCAUGCUUGCUAAUGGUAAAAAGGAGGAGAGAUAUGACGCUAUCCUGAUGAGGUAACGUUAUCAGUCUUGAGUGAAUUUUGACACGUUCUAUUGUCCAGCCUAUAGAUAGCCAGAGCGAAUUUACGAAAGCACCCGAAUGUCCACUGAGAAAGCACAACAACUAUACCGUUUAGCUAAGCUAAGAAUGACGGGAAUAAUCAAGUCCAUAAACAUUGGAUAGUUAGCCUAUAGUUAAUAUACUGGCAAGUUUGAUGUAUAACUACUAACGUUAGGUAGCAUACUGCUGUAAUGAUAUGCUAUGUGGUUGGUAAGGACAGCGUAGCUAACAAAUUGUCAGCCAACAUAACGUGUAAGGUAACUUAUUGAAAAUUCAUUACUUUAUUACAUUGAGUAGCAAGCUACCGCUUGGUCGUUAUGGCAAAUCUGGUCUGUGAUAGGAGGGAGGUUUAUCACACCUAGCUUGGCUAUUAGACUAUUCUUAGGAAAAGGUUGAAUAGUCUAUUGUUCAGCUAUUAGCCCCCCUCCCCAACUUGCAACAAAUUGUUGUUCCCAUCUCAUUCCUUUCCCUCUUUCACACGCCAUCAUUCUGCACCUGAGUGGCUCACUUGUGGGCGUCCUGGCAGGAUAUGGCAGCAUCUUCGGUUGUGCUUCAAGAAUUUUGCAUACAGUAGGACGUUUGUAUGAAGGAAGUCAUAGCGGACACCUACGAAGAAGGACUGUGUGAUGAUGACAACUCAGAGAGCGAGCUGAUCAAGGGGUCGAAAAAAUUUACAUAUUGCCAGAUGUUCACUGUCCGAGGAACAGGGCGUGGAAGCUUUAUUGCUGGCAAAAGUGUCCAUAACUAGAGGUAAUUAAACUGUUAUG